AAUGUAACUAAUUCCUAUAUUGUUAAUGCAUCAUAUCCCAUUUGAACCCUACAUUUAAGUGUUCUAGGUUUAGAGUAGUAUUGGGAUGGGUGACCUCCCAGGAAGUCUUCGUGUUUUACAUGC
rfam:Picea glauca, whole genome shotgun sequence.